rnacentral:rRNA from 1 species
ACGAACGCUGGCGGUAGGCUUAACACAUGCAAGUCGAGCGCCCCGCAAGGGGAGCGGCAGACGGGUGAGUAACGCGUGGGAAUCUACCGUGCCCUAAGGAAUAGCUCCGGGAAACUGGAAUUAAUACCUUAUACGCCCUUCGGGGGAAAGAUUUAUCGGGGUAUGAUGAGCCCGCGUUGGAUUAGCUAGUUGGUGGGGUAAAGGCCUACCAAGGCGACGAUCCAUAGCUGGUCUGAGAGGAUGAUCAGCCACAUUGGGACUGAGACACGGCCCAAACUCCUACGGGAGGCAGCAGUGGGGAAUAUUGGACAAUGGGCGCAAGCCUGAUCCAGCCAUGCCGCGUGAGUGAUGAAGGCCCUAGGGUUGUAAAGCUCUUUCACCGGUGAAGAUAAUGACGGUAACCGGAGAAGAGGCCCCGGCUAACUUCGU